rnacentral:rRNA from 1 species
UACGUAGGGGGCAAGCGUUGUCCGGAAUCAUUGGGCGUAAAGAGCGUGUAGGCGGCCUGGUAGGUCUGCUGUGAAAACUCGAGGCUCAACCUCGAGAUGUCGGCGGAAACCAUCUGGCUAGAGUCCGGAAGAGGAGAGUGGAAUUCCUGGUGUAGCGGUGAAAUGCGCAGAUAUCAGGAAGAACACCUAUGGCGAAGGCGGCUCACUGGUCCGGUUCUGACGCUGAGGCGCGAAAGCGUGGGGAGCAAACAGG